UAACGAAUAUUGCGCAAUGGGCGAAAGCCUGACGCAGCGACGCCGCGUGUAGGACGAAGCCCCUCGGGGUGUAAACUACUGUCAGGGGUUAGAAAGUCUGAGCAAUCAGAUUGAUCAGCCCCAGAGGAAGUCACGGCUAACUUCGUGCCAGCAGCCGCGGUAAUACGAAGGUGGCUAGCGUUGUUCGGUGUCACUGGGCUUAAAGCGCUCGUAGGCGGAACCGUAAGUGUCUUGUGAAAUCCCCCGGCUUAACCGGGGAAUGGCUAGGCAUACUGCGGUUCUUGAGGCAAACAGGGGUGCAUGGAACUCUUGGUGGAGCGGUGAAAUGCGUAGAUAUCUAGAGGAACGCCGGAGGCGAAAGCGGGGCACUGGGCCGAUUCUGACGCUGAGACGCGAAAGCGUGGGGAGCAAACA
rnacentral:rRNA from 1 species